UACGUAGGGUGCAAGCGUUUGUCCGGAAUUAUUGGGCGUAAAGAGCUCGUAGGCGGUUUGUCGCGUCUGCUGUGAAAACCCGAGGCUCAACCUCGGGCCUGCAGUGGGUACGGGCAGACUAGAGUGCGGUAGGGGGAGAUUGGAAUUCCUGGUGUAGCGGUGGAAUGCGCAGAUAUCAGGAGGAACACCGAUGGCGAAGGCAGAUCUCUGGGCCGUAACUGACGCUGAGGAGCGAAAGCAUGGGGAGCGAACAGG
rnacentral:rRNA from 1 species